rnacentral:rRNA from 1 species
GCAGUCGACGCUUCUUUUUCCACCGGAGCUUGCUCCACCGGAAAAAGAGGAGUGGCGAACGGGUGAGUAACACGUGGGUAACCUGCCCAUCAGAAGGGGAUAACACUUGGAAACAGGUGCUAAUACCGUAUAACAAUCGAAACCGCAUGGUUUUGAUUUGAAAGGCGCUUUCGGGUGUCACUGAUGGAUGGACCCGCGGUGCAUUAGCUAGUUGGUGAGGUAACGGCUCACCAAGGCCACGAUGCAUAGCCGACCUGAGAGGGUGAUCGGCCACAUUGGGACUGAGACACGGCCCAAACUCCUACGGGAGGCAGCAGUAGGGAAUCUUCGGCAAUGGACGAAAGUCUGACCGAGCAACGCCGCGUGAGUGAAGAAGGUUUUCGGAUCGUAAAACUCUGUUGUUAGAGAAGAACAAGGAUGAGAGUAACUGUUCAUCCCUUGA